CCCUUUGCAGACCACAAACACAGAGUCCACGGGGUAAGGUCAGAAGAUAGACAGGUAAGGAAGCCAAGCUCUGGAGACACGAAGUCAAAAAGGUACUUCAGGAGACACCGAGUACUGGAACUCCCUGCCUCCCAACAUGCAGUCUGAUAACUAGAGUUUCCACCACAAAACAAAACAAAACAAAAAAAAACAGUGUGGAAAAUAAAACAAGUAGACUUGCUUUCUCCUUCUAUUCAUCCACUGGUGUACAAAUACUCUUCAGGCCAGGGGCCCACUGCCUGUUUUUGUUUAGCCCACGAAAAAUCUUAGGAGUUGGCUCUACAUUUUUAAACGAUCAACAAAAAAUUCCUCAGAAAGAAGUAUUUCAUGACCCGGACAUUAUGGGAAGUCUAUAUAUCAAGUUUUAUUGGAACACAGUCACACUCUUGUUUACAUAACACUAAAACAGCAAAGUUGACUAGCGUGACACUGCCUGUCCCCCAAGCCUUAAAAUACGAUCUUUUUUGAAAACAAAAAACAAAAAACAAAAACCCUUGUGGACGUCCCUCCUGACUCACUGAAAACCUACACAGUGAACGUAGUAUAUGAAGAGUUAAAUGGCAGAAAAAAAGAGAAAAGGAGACACAGGCAAAACUGAAGUGUGUGUUCACGCUCUAUCCUACCAAGUCACAGCAAACAGGGCCCGCGCUGCAGAGCAACAGGGAAGAGAGCCAAGCGGUCAGAUGUCACCUCAUUCCCACACUGCUCGGAACACACUUACUCGACCUGAAAACCUUCCAGACCCGAAGAUCCGUUAACAUACGCUUUCUCCAACUGUACGCAGUGGAGGCAGAUGGCACACGAGGCCGAGGCGUUCCCAAGCAACACACACAUUACAUGCUUCUGACCUACGGAUGCCCCUCGGAAGCUGCUGGUCGUAGAGCCUGGGACAGUCAGCUGGGAGGCCACCCUGAUGUCGAGACAAGAUACAACGAGGACAGAGCCAGCCGCACGGGAGGGCAGAGUGUGGGCGAGCGGCAAGCUGUCUUCCAUGACGGUCGUCACUACUGUGCUCACACGGAAGACCGAGACGGGCAUUUGAAUUCAAGGAUGUGAGUUUGUUCCUUCCCUGUUUUAGGGGCUUCUGGAAACAAAGACACACGUGUACCCAUGCAGGGUGUGUUCUCUCUUCUUUCCCUAGGGGCAAGAGCAGCAUCGGUCUGAAUAAUGCCUGCUCUACAAGCAGCCGCCCAGGCAUUAGUCACAAAUAUUAUCUGUAAAAGGGAGCGGGCUAGAAGAGUCCGCACCUCCCUACCCCUGUACUCCAAUAAAAUGAAGCUUGUUUAUCACGGCUCAUACACUUGAAAUAGUCUGGGAGGGUACAGUGUGCUGUUUACCUGCUGGGGUAACUCUAAGGAAAAACACCAUUUAGACCUCUGUGAAGAGCAGAGACGGGGACUGUCACGUCUAGACAAAGAUGAUGGAUUUUCUGAGGGGAAAUAUGAUUUAGUCCAGUAACGUGGCUCAGGUCAUGAUCUCGGUCAGUGAGUUCAAGCCCCACGUCGGGAUCUGUGCGGACACCUCAGAGCCCGGGGCCUGCUUCAGAUUCUGUGUCUCCCUCUCUCUCUGCCCCUCCACCACUCGUGCUCGCUCUUUCUCUCCCUCUCUCAAAAAAUAAACAAACAUUACAAAAAAAUUAAUUAACCAGUAGGGACUCUAAGGUUUAGAGCGCGGUUUCUCUCAACAAGUUUGUUCCCUCGUUUUAAGUUAAUAGCUUUAAACGAAAACAGAAAGAAGCUCAAGACCCUGAAGAAAAACAUUUCUGAACACUCACUGAAUAUUAAACGUCGAAUUACCAGUGAUGCAGCAAAUCCGCUACUGGGCACAUGAAAACAUACAUCCACACAAACUCGUACACAAAUGUCCCCGGCAGUAUCAUCCACGACAGCCGAGAAGUGGAGACAAGCACAAGAUGUGGAACAUCCAUAGGACGGAGUGGGAGUUGGCAAUGAGAAGAAACAAAAUACUAAUCGAUGUGACAACACGGUUCAACCUUGAAACAGGAAGCUGAGUCAGAGAAGCCAGUUGUCAAAGAGCUCAGCGUUCCAUGUUAUUCCACGUACGUGAGGUUCUAGAAUGGGCAGCCGCACAGCAACAGGCGGGAGAUGAGGGACCCCCGGAGGGUGGGGCGGGACGGGCUGGUGGUGCUGGGCCGCUACCGCGGACCGUGGUCACCGCUGCACAGCUCGGAAACAUACUGAAAACGACGAAGCCGUGUACCUGUGCGGGUGGAUUUUAUGGUACGGGAAUUAUAGCCCAAUGAAGCUGCUAUGAAAAAAACUACUGAACCGAUUUAUUUUUUUGGUCGCUAAAAAUGAUCUGCUACACAUUUUAGACAGCUAGUAGAGAACUGGAAGUUAAAAUCUCAUUUUUGCUCUCAGUUUUCUGUACCAAGAAAGAAGAAUCAGGUUUAAGAAGGGUUACUAGAGCCCGUUCUGUGGGCAUUCUCAUUUUGUGACAUGUUCAACGUGAUGACAAGCCAAAGUCCUGUGCUCAGGGAAAAUCUUGUUGGUUACCAUCGCCAAGGGACCCACGGAGAAGGGCCCACUCCCCACAGCUACGCGGUGCGGCGCCCACGGUCUACGAAAGCUGAACUGCAGCAACACACCCACAUUUAUACGUGAUGGAACACGAGAAAAGGGGGAAAUACCGUUGUUUAAAAAAAUACAAGCGUUGCCCAAACAAACAAAAGGCUAUAAAUCAGACACAACAGACCAAGCUAAACACAUUUUGUGCUUACACAGACUUAAUGCCACUUACCGCCUGGGUCUUUAGGCCUGGUUUCAUCUCUGCUGUGGUGGCCACGUCUCCCACGGCCACCUCUGCAGAGGCCACGCCCGUCCUCCCAUUACUCCGAAAAUCCACUUCGUCGGCGGCUUUCAGGUCUGGCAUUUCUGAAGAGAAGAAGGGGGUUACAAAGCACAUCUGAAAAAUCAAAUCCCGUUGUCUUACUGUUUGCACAACUCGCUGCAGGCUUCACGUGUUUUGUUUGCUUUUGCGUUACACGGGGAAGUAUUCAAGUGGAGCUGGUGUCAUUUCGGACCCCGUGCUGAGCUAGUCCUUUAUCACAGGGUUGUUCGGUUUUCCCCUGGCCUCUGUAGGGGUUUGCGGCUAAGGCGACAUCCAGUUCGACGUCUACUCAACUUCCAUUUUCACUAUAGGCUUUUCCUCACAGAUCUCGAGUAUGUACUGACUGCAUGUGGAAAAGGACAUUCACAAGCUUCAAGGAAACAGAUUAAUAGCUACAGCCAGGUAGUCCAUCUUGAUCACCAUCAAAGAGACCAAGAUGUUUAUGUUUGCACAGCACAAAGAGGAAAGACCUGCUGGGAAUGAGAUAAAGCCUUUAAGAAGGGUC